GUAUUGAUUGCGUAUGAUCGCAAAUGAAUGACAUUCUAAACUAGAAGGGUGUUUGUAUGAAAAACGCGAACCUCCCCCUCUUGAAGCAAGCCAAGAGGAAGAGACCCCGCGCGGUGAUGCACAAAGGGUGAAAUGGAUUGAGAGCACUCGGGCGUGCACGACCAAAAAGUCAGCGACAGCCCUCGCGCCUCGGUUUUACGAUAAUGAUCCUUCCGCAGGUUCACCUACGGAAA
rnacentral:misc_RNA from 1 species